rnacentral:rRNA from 1 species
AUGCCCUCUUCCUCCUCGUUCGUGUCGGCGGAGGCGGAGACGAGGAACUGGGCGGAGCUGCCGCUGGACGCGAUCUCAUCCAUCCUCCACAAGCUCGGCCAUGUCGACAUCCUGAUGGGGCCCGGCCAGGCGUGCCGCUCCUGGCGCGGCGCCGCCCGCGACGAGCCCGAGCUGUGGCGCCGCAUAAACAUGCUAGGCCACGCCGAUCUCUCCCGCCAGCUCAACCUCCACGGGAUGGCGCAGGCCGCCGUCCGCCGCAGCGCGGGUAGGUGUGAGGCGUUCUGGUGUGAGCACGCCGGCGGCCACGGCUUCCUCCUCCGCCUCACCGACCAGGCACCAUCUCUCAAGAGUCUUCACCUCGUUUCAUGCUAUACAUCUAGUGAUGAAGCACUUACGGAGGCGAUAGUGAAAUUCCAUUUGCUUGAGGAGCUCGAGCUUGCAUUGUGUUCAAAUGUGGGUGGGAGUGGCGUGUUGGGGGUUGUUGGCAAAGCAUGCCCACAACUGAAGAGCUUCAGACUGAUUAAGGAUGUGUUGUAUGAUUCUGAAGCUAGUGACUACGACAAGGAUGAUGAAGCCAUGGGGAUUGCAACCAUGCGUGGGCUAUGCUCUUUGCAGCUGUUUGGCAAUGGCCUGACAAAUAAAGGACUGACAGCUAUCCUGGAUAAUUGCUGCCACCUGGAGUUCCUUGACAUUCGUCACUGCUUUAACGUCUACAUGGACAACACCCUGCGCACAAAGUGUGCUAGGAUAAGCACACUUUGGCUCAUCCUGCCAAAAUUGGGUGAUGUCGGCAUGAGAGAGCAAUUUAUUCGCCCACAAGCAUCUGAUAGGGGAUUUCCAAGAAUAAUAUCUUCCUCAUCCAUGGAUGCUCGGGGUGAUCUUUCUGCCAUUGAGAAUCAGGUGCACAAGCUAAUCGAUGGUUUGAGAAGCGAUUCCAUAGAAGGUCAAAGAUCAGCGACAUCAGAGAUUCGCCUUCUAGCUAAGCACAACAUGGAGAACAGGAUUGUCAUUGCAGAUUGUGGGGCUAUAAACUUGCUGGUUGGUCUUCUUCAUUCACCAGAUGCCAAGAUCCAAGAAAAUGCAGUGACAUCCCUCCUCAAUCUGUCCAUCAGUGAUAACAAUAAGAUUGCCAUCAUGAAUGCAUAUGCUAUUGAUCCUCUCGUCCAUGUCCUGGAAACAGGGAACCCUGAAGCUAAAGAGAAUUCAGCUAUUGCAUUGUUUUAUUUAUCCAUACUUGAUGAGAACAAGGGUCGCAUUGUGCAAGCUAAUGCGGUGAAGCAACUAGUUGAGCUUAUGGAUCCUGCUCUUGGAAUGAUCGACAUAGCGGUAGCUGUCUUGGCAAAUCUUGCUACGAUACCAGAAGGGAGAACUGCGAUUGGGCAGGCGCGAGGUAUUCCAGCUCUUGUUGAAGUUGUCGAACUGGGUUCAGCGAGAGGGAAGGAAAAUGUUGUUGCAGCAUUGCUUCAGCUAUGCAAAAACAGUAACAGAUCUUGCAGCAUAGUUCUUCGAGAGGGUGUUUUGCCCCCUUUAGUCACACUGUCACGGUCAGGAACACCACGAGCAAGAGAGAAGGUUUUCUACUUCCGAUAA